CAGCCAUGUUACGACAUUUGCCAAUAGUGCCACAGGUCUUAAAAAUGCAAAGGUAGCAUAAUCACUUGCCCAUUAAUUGUGGGCUAGAAUGAAAGGACUAACGAAAUAAAAGCUGUCUCUAUAAGAAACCUAAAAAUUAAUCUCUAACUGAAGAGUGUUAGAUAAAACCGAAGGACAAGAAGACCCUAUAGAGCUUUAUUCUAAUAAAAACAAAAUAUUUUACUAAAAUUCGGUUGGGGCGACCAGGGAAUAUACUAAUCAUCCCUACUUACAAGACCAAUUAAUCACAGUAAUGACCCUUAAUAAAGAUCAACAAAACAAGCUACCUUAGGGAUAACAGGCUAAUCCUGCUAAAGAGUCCUUAUUUAUAGCAGGGGUUGGCACCUCGAUGUUGGCUUAAGGAAUCUAUAAGGCGCAAAAGCCUAAUAAAGAUGGUUUGUUCAACCAAUAAUACCCUACAUGAGCUGAGUUCAGACCGGCGUAAGCCAGGCUAGAUUCGAUCCUCCAUUAAAAAAAAACUAUUCAUACUACGAAAGGACCUGGAUAAGAGUAAUAAUUACCAUAUAGAGAAUACAUAUAACAAUUUUUAACCAAAUGACUCCAUAUACUA
rnacentral:rRNA from 1 species